rnacentral:rRNA from 1 species
GAGUUUGAUCCUGGCUCAGGAUGAACGCUGGCGGCGCGCCUAACACAUGCAAGUCGAACGGCACCCAUCUUCGGAUGGAAGCGAGUGGCGAACGGCUGAGUAACACGUGGAGAACCUGCCCCCUCCCCCGGGAUAGCCGCCCGAAAGGACGGGUAAUACCGGAUACCCCGGGGUGCCGCAUGGCACCCCGGCUAAAGCCCCGACGGGAGGGGAUGGCUCCGCGGCCCAUCAGGUAGACGGCGGGGUGACGGCCCACCGUGCCGACAACGGGUAGCCGGGUUGAGAGACCGACCGGCCAGAUUGGGACUGAGACACGGCCCAGACUCCUACGGGAGGCAGCAGUGGGGAAUCUUGCGCAAUGGGGGGAACCCUGACGCAGCGACGCCGCGUGCGGGACGGAGGCCUUCGGGUCGUAAACCGCUUUCAGCAGGGAAGAGUCAAGACUGUACCUGCAGAAGAAGCCCCGGCUAACUACGUGCCAGCCGCCGCGGUAAUUC